UACGUAGGGGGCAAGCGUUGUCCGGAAUCAUUGGGCGUAAAGAGCGUGUAGGCGGCCCGAUAAGUCCGCUGUGAAAGUCCAGGGCUCAACCCUGGAAUGCCGGUGGAUACUGUCGGGCUCGAAUCCGGAAGAGGUGAGUGGAAUUCCUGGCGUAGCGGUGAAAUGCGCAGAUAUCAGGAGGAACACCAAUGGCGAAGGCAGGUCUCUGGGCAUUAACUGACGCUGAGGAGCGAAAGCAUGGGGAGCGAACAGG
rnacentral:rRNA from 1 species